UCUCAAUAGAUGCUGCCCAGU
rnacentral:snRNA from 1 species